UACGUAGGAGGCGAGCGCUGUCCGGAGUUACUGGGCGUAAAGGGCGCGUAGGCGGCCUUCUAAGUCGAACGUGAAAUCCCCGGGCUCAACCCGGGAACUGCGUCCGAUACUGGAAGGCUUGAAUCCGGGAGAGGGAUGUGGAAUUCCAGGUGUAGCGGUGAAAUGCGUAGAUAUCUGGAGGAACACCGGUGGCGAAGGCGACAUCCUGGACCGGUAUUGACGCUGAGGCGCGAAAGCCAGGGGAGCAAACGGG
rnacentral:rRNA from 1 species